UUCACAUAAGCACCAAAAAGAAAUACGAUAAAAUUGGAAUGAUACAGAGAAUAUUAGCAUGGCCCCUUUGCAAGGAUGACAUGCAAAAAUUGAGAAAUGGUCCAAAUCAUU
rfam:Picea glauca, whole genome shotgun sequence.